CCGAAGUUGGCAGUCGGCCUUCACCGUGAUCUGCAGAAUGCAAAUGACACACUGUCUGAGAUCAUUGUGAAAGCUGUUUGCCUUCUUUGC
rnacentral:pre_miRNA from 1 species